GGGGAAUAUUGGACAAUGGGCGCAAGCCUGAUCCAGCCAUGCCGCGUGAGUGAAGAAGGCCCUAGGGUUGUAAAGCUCUUUCACCGGAGAAGAUAAUGACGGUAUCCGGAGAAGAAGCCCCGGCUAACUUCGUGCCAGCAGCCGCGGUAAUACGAAGGGGGCUAGCGUUGUUCGGAAUUACUGGGCGUAAAGCGCACGUAGGCGGACGAUUAAGUCAGGGGUGAAAUCCCGGGGCUCAACCCCGGAACUGCCUUUGAUACUGGUUGUCUGGAGUAUGGAAGAGGUAAGUGGAAUUCCGAGUGUAGAGGUGAAAUUCGUAGAUAUUCGGAGGAACACCAGUGGCGAAGGCGGCUUACUGGUCCAUUACUGACGCUGAGGUGCGAAAGCGUGGGGAGCAAAC
rnacentral:rRNA from 1 species